AUAGGGGAGCCGCAGGGAAACCGAGUCUUAACCGGGCGUUAAGUUGCAGGGUAUAGACCCGAAACCCGGUGAUCUAGCCAUGGGCAGGUUGAAGGUUGGGUAACACUAACUGGAGGACCGAACCGACUAAUGUUGAAAAAUUAGCGGAUGACCUGUGGCUGGGGGUGAAAGGCCAAUCAAACCGGGAGAUAGCUGGUUCUCCCCGAAAGCUAUUUAGGUAGCGCCUCGUGAACUCAUCUUCGGGGGUAGAGCACUGUUUCGGCUAGGGGGUCAUCCCGACUUACCAACCCGAUGCAAACUGCGAAUACCGGAGAAUGUUAUCACGGGAGACACACGGCGGGUGCUAACGUCCGUCGUGAAGAGGGAAACAACCCAGACCGCCAGCUAAGGUCCCAAAGUCAUGGUUAAGUGGGAAACGAUGUGGGAAGGCCCAGACAGCCAGGAUGUUGGCUUAGAAGCAGCCAUCAUUUAAAGAAAGCGUAAUAGCUCACUGGUCGAGUCGGCCUGCGCGGAAGAUGUAACGGGGCUAAACCAUGCACCGAAGCUGCGGCAGCGACGCUUAUGCGUUGUUGGGUAGGGGAGCGUUCUGUAAGCCGUUGAAGGUGGCCUGUGAGGGUUGCUGGAGGUAUCAGAAGUGCGAAUGCUGACAUAAGUAACGAUAAAGCGGGUGAAAAGCCCGCUCGCCGGAAGACCAAGGGUUCCUGUCCAACGUUAAUCGGGGCAGGGUGAGUCGACCCCUAAGGCGAGGCCGAAAGGCGUAGUCGAUGGGAAACAGGUUAAUAUUCCUGUACUCGGUGUUACUGCGAAGGGGGGACGGAGAAGGCUAUGUUGGCCGGGCGACGGUUGUCCCGGUUUAAGCAUGUAGGCGGGUGUUCCAGGUAAAUCCGGAACGCUGUUAACGCUGAGGUGUGAUGACGAGGCACUACGGUGCUGAAGCAACAAAUGCCCUGCUUCCAGGAAAAGCCUCUAAGCAUCAGGUAACAUCAAAUCGUACCCCAAACCGACACAGGUGGUCAGGUAGAGAAUACCAAGGCGCUUGAGAGAACUCGGGUGAAGGAACUAGGCAAAAUGGUGCCGUAACUUCGGGAGAAGGCACGCUGAUGGUAGGUGAAGUGAUUUACUCAUGGAGCUGAAAUCAGUCGAAGAUACCAGCUGGCUGCAACUGUUUAUUAAAAACACAGCACUGUGCAAACACGAAAGUGGACGUAUACGGUGUGACGCCUGCCCGGUGCCGGAAGGUUAAUUGAUGGGGUUAUCCUCGCG
rnacentral:rRNA from 1 species